rnacentral:rRNA from 1 species
GACAGAGGGUGCAAACGUUGUUCGGAAUUACUGGGCCUAAAGCGCACGUAGGUGGUCCACUAAGUCGAGUGUGAAAUCCCCCGGCUCAACCGGGGAAUUGCGCUCGAUACUGGCGGGCUAGAGGUCGAUAGGGGUGAGCGGAACUCCAGGUGGAGCGGUGAAAUGCGUAGAUAUCUGGAGGAACACCGGUGGCGAAAGCGGCUCACUGGAUCGAAACUGACACUGAGGUGCGAAAGCUAGGGUAGCAAACGGG